rnacentral:rRNA from 1 species
AGAUUGAACGCUGGCGGCAGGCCUAACACAUGCAAGUCGAGCGGCAGCACGGGUACUUGUACCUGGUGGCGAGCGGCGGACGGGUGAGUAAUGCCUAGGAAUCUGCCUGGUAGUGGGGGAUAACGCUCGGAAACGGACGCUAAUACCGCAUACGUCCUACGGGAGAAAGCAGGGGACCUUCGGGCCUUGCGCUAUCAGAUGAGCCUAGGUCGGAUUAGCUAGUUGGUGAGGUAAUGGCUCACCAAGGCGACGAUCCGUAACUGGUCUGAGAGGAUGAUCAGUCACACUGGAACUGAGACACGGUCCAGACUCCUACGGGAGGCAGCAGUGGGGAAUAUUGGACAAUGGGCGAAAGCCUGAUCCAGCCAUGCCGCGUGUGUGAAGAAGGUCUUCGGAUUGUAAAGCACUUUAAGUUGGAAGGAAGGCAGUUACCUAAUACGUAUCUGUUUGACGUUACCGACAGAAUAAGCACCGGCUAACUCUGUG